rnacentral:snRNA from 1 species
GUGCUCACUUUCCAGCACAUACACUAAAAUUGGAAAGAUAUAGAGAAGAUUAACGUGGCCCCCUUGCAAGGAUGAAAUGCAUAUUGCUAAGCCUCUCUGUU